AAAGAGUGCAUUUUUUGCACGGUUUAUGUUCAACAUUUGACUGCCCGUUUUAUUUAAAAAAAUGCUAUUAGUAUUUUUUUUGUUAUUAGAUGAUAAAACAUGAACAAUACUUUAUUUGUGACUAUUUUUUAAAUUUUUCAUAUUUUUUUCAAAUAAGACAGACGAUCAAACGUUGGAACGCAAAUCCACAAGUGCACUUGAA
rfam:Oryza brachyantha chromosome 10, whole genome shotgun sequence.